rnacentral:lncRNA from 1 species
UUUGCCUCCAGUUCCUGGCACAGAGCUCCUAAAUUAUUAGAAUUUCUUGAGUGAUAGGUGUAUCUUUUGUUAUUCAUAAUGAGCUCCUUUUGACCAUACUAGAGUUUAUGUUAAUGAGGUGACUCAGGGUGGCCUUAGAUAGAUUUAGGUUGGGGACUGGUCCCCAGAAAGACCAAACAUGGGAUCAGAGGGUUGAACAUUUAACCCCACCCUCCAACCUCCCGGGAGGGGAGAAAGGCUGGAGAUUGAGCUCAAUCACCAAUGGCCAAUGAUUUGAUCAAACACACCUACAAAACAAAGCUUUGAUAAAUACUCUUGAACAGUGAAAUUUAGAGAGCUUCUGGGUUGGUAACAUUGAUGUGGUGGGAGAGUGGCACCGUGGAAGAGGACAUGGAAGUGUGACUGUAACAGGUUCCUUACCUAAAGCAUGGCAAGUGGACACACUGACCUCAAGGAUUGCAGCAGAGAAAGGGUUUAAUAAUCAUAGGGCAUCUGAACAAGGAGAUGGAAGGAAACCUCAGAUUUGCCUCCCUGAGGAGUUUGUAAGGGGUUUGGAGUGGGCUGAGGUGUGGGGAUUGCAGGGUGAAGUCAUGGACUGGAGAGAUGAAGAAACUGCAUUCUCAUGUUGAUUCAGCUCUUCUGUGGGGAUUGCAGGGUGAAGUCAUGGACUGGAGAGAUGAAGAAACUGCAUUCUCAUGUUGAUUCAGCUCUUCUGUGGGGAUCCUCAAACUGGUUGUGGAUGUCAGCUGUUCUGCUGGAAUUCAGGAUCUGAAGAACAUCUUAAGCAACUCUUAAACAAAAGCCUCAUGAUUCCAACAUCCGAAAUCCCAUCUAUAGAAACAAUGUGGAUGCAAAUGUUACAGAAAGACUGAGCUACAGCUAUG